rnacentral:misc_RNA from 1 species
UAUGAGCGUGCUGAUCGAAUUGGAGGACUGAUGAUGUAUGGUGUUCCCAACAUGAAGGCUGACAAAGUGGAUAUUGUUCAACGUCGUGUUGAUCUAAUGGCUAAGGAAGGCAUCAAUUUUGUGGUCAACGCUAAUGUUGGAAUUGAUCCUCUGUACUCUCUUGAUAGGCUUCGAGAGGAGAAUGAUGCCAUUUUUUUGGCAGUAGGAGCCACAAAGCCGAGG